rnacentral:rRNA from 1 species
UACGAGGGGGGCGAGCGUUGUUCGGAAUUAUUGGGCGUAAAGGGUGCGUAGGCGGUUCCGCAAGUCCUGUGUGAAAUCUUCGGGCUUAACUCGAAGCCUGCACGGGAAACUGCGGGGCUUGAGUGUGGGAGAGGUGAGUGGAAUUCCCGGUGUAGCGGUGAAAUGCGUAGAUAUCGGGAGGAGCACCUGUGGCGAAAGCGGCUCACUGGACCAUAACUGACGCUGAGGCGCGAAAGCUAGGGGAGCAAACAGG